GACGUAGGGGGCCAGCGUUGUUCGGAAUUACUGGGUGUAAAGGGUUCGUAGGCGGUGUGGCAAGUCGGGGGUGAAAUCCCUCGGCCCAACCGAGGAACUGCGCCCGAGACUGCUUCUCUUGAGUCCCGGAGAGGAAGAUGGAAUUCCCGGUGUAGCGGUGAAAUGUGUAGAGAUCGGGAGGAACACCGGUGGCGAAGGCGGUCUUCUGGACGGUGACUGACGCUGAGGCGCGAAAGCGUGGGGAGCAAACGGG
rnacentral:rRNA from 1 species